rnacentral:rRNA from 1 species
UACGUAGGGUGCAAGCGUUAAUCGGAAUUACUGGGCGUAAAGCGUGCGCAGGCGGUGAUGCAAGACAGAUGUGAAAUCCCCGGGCUUAACCUGGGAACUGCAUUUGUGACUGCAUUGCUGGAGUGCGGCAGAGGGGGAUGGAAUUCCGCGUGUAGCAGUGAAAUGCGUAGAUAUGCGGAGGAACACCGAUGGCGAAGGCAAUCCCCUGGGCCUGCACUGACGCUCAUGCACGAAAGCGUGGGGAGCAAAAGGG